rnacentral:rRNA from 1 species
UUCUCGGUCGCGGCGACCGGUCCGCCCCUCGCGGGGCGUGCACCAGGUCUCUGCGUCCAUCCUCGGGGAGAGCGCGUCUGGCAUUGAGUUGUCGGGCGCGGGAUCCUUCGUCAUUUACUGCGAGCAAAAUAGAGUGCCCAAAGCAGGCUUUAUGUCGUUGAAUACAUUAGCAUGGAAUAAUAAGAUAGGACCUUGGCCUAUUUUGUU